GUUUUCCUUGGCCCGGGCGUGAGGCGCGUGCGGGCUGAGGAGCCGUAGCCCGGCUGCUGCGCGCCUCUGCCCUGCGGGGAGUGGCUUUCAAGUUUCCUCACCGCUUUGCCGCACUUCCUCUUCCAGGCUCUCAUUUGAAAUAAUAUUUUGGUGGCUUAAGAGCCGUGGUGUUGUUAGAGUGGCAGGGCCGAAGCUGGGCGGGCUCCCUCGGUGUUCCCGAGGCGGCGGCCCUGUGUGGGCCUCGAGUCUUCGGCGGCGGUCUGUGUGGGCCUCGAGUCUUCGGUGUGUACGUGUGGAGCUCAAGUAGGAGAGGACACGGAAUCACAGCGUGCCCCGAGUUGGAAGGGACCCGUGCGGAUCAUGGAUUCCAACUGCCAGCUCCACACGAGACCCUCCAAAAAUGAGCCCACGUGUCUGCGUGUGGUACAGAUGAUUCUUGAACUCGGUCAGCUCAGUGCCGUGACCACACGGCCUGUUCCACACCCACCACCCUCCGCUGCAGAACCUUUUCCUGAACGCCUUCUGCCCAAAGCAGACUUCUGUCAUCGUUUUCUAACUCAUGCUGGUGGGUGCCGGGGUGCUGCUGAGGGCUGCGAUUGACCAUCGCGAGGCUGUAGUCAUCUCUGGAAAGCCGGGUCCCAUCUGUGUGGUGUCCAGCUUCUUCCCUGAAGGUUUCACUUCGUGCUCACAAGUUGAAUACACAGCACCAUACCUCCUGAACCCGUAGUGGGGCACUGCUUCAGCACAGAGCAAUGUGUGGACAGGGUGUGUUACCAAACCAGAGCCUCCUACUGCUGGCUUCUUUUGAAUUCUUCCAUUCAGGAAAUCUGCUCUGCCCGAAGCUGCUUCAUUUUUGGCAUGCGGCGUGAUGAAGUUGGGUUGUGAUGAGAAUGAGCAAUCUCAUGAGCGUAUAUUAAAAAGGAAAGUGAGAAAUUAAAAUUUCUUCAGCAAAGCCUAAGUCAUAUCAAUAGCAGAGGGUAAGAACCAGUUCCCUCGGGGUUUCAGAGUCAGAACCAGUUCCCUUGGGGUUUCAGAGUCAGAUUAGAACAAAACAAUUUUCAAAAAG
rnacentral:lncRNA from 1 species